rnacentral:rRNA from 1 species
UACGUAGGGUCCGAGCGUUGUCCGGAUUUAUUGGGCGUAAAGAGCUCGUAGGCGGUUCCGUAAGUCAGAUGUGAAAACUCAGGGCUCAACCCGGAGACGCCAUCUGAUACUGCGGUGACUGGAGUCUGGUAGGGGAACACGGAAUUCCUGGUGUAGCGGUGAAAUGCGCAGAUAUCAGGAGGAACACCGAUGGCGAAGGCAGUGCUCUGGGCCAGUACUGACGCUGAGGAGCGAAAGCGUGGGGAGCAAACAGG